GUUGGGUUGGGUUGGGUUUUCUGCUUACGGAUCCAUCAUUGGGGGAAGCAAAAGCAGGAGCUCGAGGGCGAAUUCAGAAGAAACCGAAGCAGGGGCGGCAUGGGAGUACUAACUGCUUACUUCCCUAGGUUUGCUACCUUUUUAAUACAGCCAGGACCACCCAGCUAGGGAUAGUUCUAGCCACAUUUGAGGAGACACUCUCACAUCAAUCAGCAACCAAAAAUAUGCCCUACAGACGUGUCUGCAAUACAGCCUCUGUCCAGGAAAUCACCCUCCCGGUACCCAAAUCGACUGCUUCUGGAGAUCUUGGCAAAGUCCACAGGCCUAAAAAGUAGCGGACACACCUCAUUAAACCCUCUGGACAUCUGAAAGACAGCACAGCUUCUGCAUCAAGAUGAACUGCAGGCCCACGGAACCCAAGGCCACACAUGGGUGAGCAGGCCAGUGUCAGGCCUAGGUGAGUGGCACUGGCUCUGGAGUUCAAAGCUAUGGAACUGGCCAGACCUGGAUAGAUGGAUGGAUGGAUGCCAGUCAUGCCUGGAGACACGAGAUUCCAAAUGAUCCUGGGCAUCUUUCUUGGCUGAUAAAAAAAGGAAUAUUGAUCCUUGCUCCAAGCUGCUCUGAAGAUCACUGGAGAUUCCCCCACCACUGUCUUCCAGGGUUGCAGCCCAUGCCUGGCCCAUUACUUACUAAGAAUUUCCUUUUUUUAUGGACUGGUAUUGUAGCAUAUUAUUUUAAAUUUUGCAUGAUCAUGAAGAUAUAGCCAUAAUGGCAUGAGCAUAUAACAACAGGUCACUGUGACAACCCACACAAUGGAGUGGGAAGGGAGGCAGAAGAGAGGAAGUGCAGGAGGCCCCUCCCACCAAGCUGCCUCAGGGAGCAUCCUGCCCUCCUCACUCCUGUGUUCUGAGGGGAAAUGCUGACUGCUGUCUCCUGCCCCACUCCGCAGGAAGCAACCUGGGGAAGAAGCUUGCUCACCUCCUCUGAAGGCCAAAAGACUCCCCGGCACAAUUCCCAGUAAAUGUGUGCUUCCUGCCCACUCUCCGCCAACUUCAAACUGUCCUACAGAUUCCAGAAGAAGUCCAGAGCAUGGGAGGCAGACCUGUGGUUAUGAUGCCAGAGCUCAUCAGCCUCAAGGAAAAGAUGCUUUAGUCCCUCCUCCUCAUAACUUGCCAGUGGUGCUACAGAGCACGGCCCUCUCUGUCCUCUCCUCCGAGGCCCACCACCUCAUCCACUUACAAUGCCUUCCCCUGUGAGGCAGACAGGACAGGCUUCAUCCCAAUCACCAGGAAACCCAGGUCAAGGAGAGGGUAUUAUUUACCCCAGGUGCCCACACCCAGAAGACAAAGAGUCACAAGGCAAUGGGGUCUAAUGAAUCUCUGGUGAAACUCAGCAUUGGCCUAGGGUUCUCUAGUAACUGACUCCUCCUCCAGGAGCACUCCCUAAAGCACGAUGCCUCCUCCUGCUUAUGUUGUUCCUCAAGGCACUUCACUGUCCUGCCUUCAACCCCUCACUGCCACCCACCCCAAACUAGCGAUGUCACCAUUCCUGCUGUUGAAAAGCACCUGGAAGCUCCACAAGACUGAGUGACAGCCUCGACAGCGCAGGGCUCCUGAGCGGCAGGAGCUGGGUCCAUACUGUGUCAAAGACACCACAUCUGCCCCAGCAUGUGUCACAGUCCAGCGUGGCUGCCACAGAGAUGCAAGGGUCUCCAACCUGGUGACAGUUGAUGCCUGUGUGUCCCUUAGGAGAGUGAUGCCUGUGCCUCUCAUCACAACUCUGAAGUCCCACCCCUUUUGAUGCCUUUAGCUUCUUAUUGGGCUCCCGGCACUAAUCAAAACCUUCCAGCCUAUUCUUCCUGCUGAGAUAGACAAUUUGCUUCAGCACAGACUGGUUGUACCUGCUUCUCUGGGGUUUCUUAUAGCUCCUCAAGGCUCUGCCUUAGGCAAGAUGAGGGACUUGCUUAGAAACAGUAGCCCUAGCUGGGCAUGAUGGCGCACGCCUUUAAUCCCAGCACUCAGGAGGCAGAGGCAGGCAGAUUUCUGAGUUAGAGG